rnacentral:misc_RNA from 1 species
CUUUAACACGCAAUAAUAAGAAAUCAAACCAAACUAUCUACUCAAAGCAAGCAUUUCAAACAUCACUGUUCCCUUGCAGUUCAGCAAUGGCGCCGCCGGUGAUUUUCUGCCGUGAAAUAUCUCCGUCGCCGGCCAACUGCACAUCCUAUUCACCUUUUCUUCAACUGGAUACACAGUGUACUUCAUCUUUCGCUGCUUCUUGUUUAAGGCUACCUAAGAAUUAUUCAUAUGUAGCUAGAUGCUCCUUGAAAUGGUCUGAGAAGCCAUCUAUGAUGCCUGAAGCAUUGCUCACUUCUAGCCCUCAACAACUCUCUACAAACCCUGUUUUUGGUGAAGGCAAAAUUGGUGUUUUGUUGCUUAAUCUUGGUGGACCUGAAACUCUUGAAGAUGUGCAGCCUUUUUUAUUCAAUCUUUUUGCUGAUCCAGAUAUUAUUCGAUUGCCAAGAUUGUUUCGGUUUUUGCAAAGGCCAUUGGCACAAUUCAUAUCUGUUGCUAGAGCACCCAAGAGCAAAGAAGGUUAUGCUUCAAUUGGUGGUGGUUCUCCUCUACGACGGAUAACUGAUGCUCAGGCUGAAGCCUUGAGAAAAGCUCUGUGGGAAAAGAAUGUGCCUGCAAAGGUGUAUGUUGG